GCUCUAACAAACUAGGACUACUCAUGCCAAGAUGUUAUGCGGAGACUGGUUUUAUAAGGAAGGCAAGUGAGGAGCGAAUUUCGAAUAGUUGGAACAAACACUCAAGCCUGACCCAAUCUUCGCAGCAACUGAAAAGAGGGAAAAGGAAAAGUGGAUAGGCGAAUCUAAUGGGGCUGUGCAUCUGUAUGGAGGAGUCCUCUGAGUUUGGUUGCUACCUGUUCUACAUAAGACGCAGAAAGUAGGGGCUUAAAAAUGACGGCAGGCGGGCGCGGGCACGCGAUCCCGCGGCAGGGAAGGGAAUAACGAAAAGCGAUGUUGACAAAGCUGGAGGCGGGGAAUCCCGCGCUUUUUUUUUUCUUCCUCCGGGGCCAGAGAUGAGAAGGAAUAUAUCGCCUGCCUGUGUCGACCUCGCCUGCCUGAUUCUUGUGUUCCGUGGCCUGGUUGUGCUCCGCGCGCGGGCAGAGCGGGGCGCCGUCAGGAUGAGCACGUGUGAACCUGUGGCGCGGGUAUAUCGUUGGUAGUUUGGUACUGUAAGUGUGAGUGCUUUGCUCAGUUGCUGAGUGCUCGUUGCUUGCUGUAUGAACCCAACCCAACUAGCCACUCCUCGUUGCUGGAAGAAGGGGGUGACUUGAAAUUGAUGCCAGUUGAUGGGUGUUCCUCUGUUGUUUUGAUGUAACGAGCUAAUAAUGGUCGUGUUUUCUUUCGAAGACGCUAUUGAUAGUAUUUGUCAUAACUUGUAACAACCCUUUGGAGUUGGAGAUAUUCGUUUCU